rnacentral:rRNA from 1 species
GUAUCUAAAAAAAUUUGUUUUGCUUAUUAUAAAGACAAUUAAAUGGCCGCGGUAACACUAACUGUGAAAAUGUAGCAUAAUAAAUUGUCAAUUAAUUGUUGACUGGUAUGAAUGGUAUCACGAAAGUUUUUCUGUCUUAAAAAAAUACUUAAUGAAAUUGAAUUUGUAGUGAAGAUGCUACAUUAUAAUUGUAAGACGAGAAGUCCCCAUGGAGCUUUACUGAAAACUAAGAUUUUCUAUAAGUAGGACAGUUUUGUUGGGGCGACAGUUUUUUAAAAAGUAACGAAAAUGAACUAUGGUAAAAAGCUUCACUCUGAAAGAUUUUUUAAGAGACAUUUUUUAGUGUGUUUUAUGAUCCGUUGUUUGGAAUGAAAAAAAUAACGAAAACAAAUAAAAGUUACCCUGGGGAU